AGGUGAAUUUAUUUUGUAGCCCAUUAGCAAAGCGACUUCCUCUUAAAGAACAGAUGCCUCGCUAAGCUGUGUAAAAGUGGAUUAUAACGCGACUUAUAACGCGUUUACAAGUUUGACAGCUUGGAAGCUGAUUAUGGUAAUUGAUACCAACUGGUGAGAAGCAUGGAGCUGUACUGGUACAUAGUCGUCAUAAUAUUUAUUAUGAUUAAGAUCUUCUUCUACAUCUGCUGGUAUCGCUCAAGGCAAAGGCAGCUCGCUGCGUACCUCAGUAAUCCCCGAAAUGCUCAGAUAGUCAUUGUGGGAGGACGAGCAUACCUUCAUCAGAUCUGUGAGAGACAAAAUACAUCAAUCUGGCCCAAUUGGUACGGAGUUUCAGGACGACGGCUCGG